rnacentral:rRNA from 1 species
UACGGAGGAUCCGAGCGUUAUCCGGAUUUAUUGGGUUUAAAGGGUGCGUAGGCGGCCUACUAAGUCAGGGGUGAAAGACGGUAGCUUAACUAUCGCAGUGCCUUUGAUACUGAUGGGCUUGAAUGUACUUGAGGUAGGCGGAAUGUGACAAGUAGCGGUGAAAUGCAUAGAUAUGUCACAGAACACCAAUUGCGAAGGCAGCUUACUAAAGUAUGAUUGACGCUGAGGCACGAAAGCGUGGGGAGCAAACAGG